CCUACGGGUGGCAGCAGUAGGGAAUAUUGCUCAAUGGGGGAAACCCUGAAGCAGCAACGCCGCGUGGAGGAUGAAGGUUUUCGGAUUGGAAACUCCUUUUGUUAGAGAAGAUAAUGACGGUAUCUAACGAAUAAGCACCGGCUAACUCCGUGCAAGCAGCCGCGGUAAUACGGAGGGUGCAAGCGUUACUCGGAAUCACUGGGCGUAAAGAGCGCGUAGGCGGGAUAGCAAGUCAGAUGUGAAAGCCUAUGGCUUAACCAUAGAACUGCAUUUGAAACUGGUAUUCUAGAGUAUAGGAGAGGUAGGUGGAAUUCUUGGUGUAGGGGUAAAAUCCGUAGAGAUCAAGAGGAAUACUCAUUGCGAAGGCGACCUGCUAGAACAUAACUGACGCUGAUGCGCGAAAGCGUGGGGAGCAAACAGGAUUAGAUACCCCUGUAGUC
rnacentral:rRNA from 1 species